UACGGAGGAUCCAAGCGUUAUCCGGAAUCAUUGGGUUUAAAGGGUCCGUAGGCGGUCUAGUAAGUCAGUGGUGAAAGCCCAUCGCUCAACGGUGGAACGGCCAUUGAUACUGCUGGACUUGAAUUACUAGGAAGUAACUAGAAUAUGUAGUGUAGCGGUGAAAUGCUUAGAGAUUACAUGGAAUACCAAUUGCGAAGGCAGGUUACUACUAGUGGAUUGACGCUGAUGGACGAAAGCGUGGGUAGCGAACAGG
rnacentral:rRNA from 1 species